CCUUGACCUCAUUUUCAUGGUUCAGUGACUACUUGAAAAAAAAGUUAAGAUUUUUUGUAAUGUUAAAUUCUCUCUUAUUAUAAGUAAUAGGAUAACUAUAUUUGGUAUGUGCGUACCUUGCAAGGUCCUCAUGCCCUUCAGACAGUUUUCACUUGACCUCGACCUCAUUUCAUGGAUCAGUGAACAAGGUUAAGUUUUCGUGGUCAAGUCCAUAUCUCAGAUACUAUAAGCAAUAGGUCUAGUAUAUUCGGUGUAUGGAAGGACUGUAAGGUGUACAUGUCCAACUGGCAGGUGUCAUCUGACCUUGACCUCAUUUUCAUGGUUCAGUGGUUAUAGUUGAGUUUUUGUGUUUUGGUCUGUUUUUCUUAUACUGUAUGCAAUAGGUCUACUAUAUUUGUUGUAUGGAAGGAUUGUAAGGUGUACAUGUCUAGCUGGCAGGUGUCAUCUGACCUUGACCUCAUUUUCAUGGUUCAGUGGUUAUAGUUGAGUUUUUGUGUUUUGGUCUGUUUUUCUUAUACUGUAUGCAAUAGGUCUACUAUAUUUGGUGUAUGGAAGGAUUGUAAGGUGUACAUGUCUAGCUGGCAGGUGUCAUCUGACCUUGACCUCAUUUUCAUGGUUCAGUGGUUAUAGUUGAGUUUUUGUGUUUUGGUCUGUUUUUCUUAUACUGUAUGCAAUAGGUCUACUAUAUUUGGUGUAUGGAAGGAUUGUAAGGUGUACAUGUCUAGCUGGCAGGUGUCAUCUGACCUUGACCUCAUUUUCAUGGUUCAGUGGUUAUAGUUGAGUUUUUGUGUUUUGGUCUGUUUUUCUUAUACUGUAUGCAAUAGGUCUACUAUAUUUGGUGUAUGGAAGGAUUGUAAGGUGUACAUGUCUAGCUGUCAGGUGUCAUCUGACCUUGACCUCAUUUUCAUGGUUCAGUGGUUAUAGUUGAGUUUUUGUGUUUUGGUCUGUUUUUCUUAUACUGUAUGCAAUAGGUCUACAAUAUUUGGUGUAUGGAAGGAUUGUAAGGUGUACAUGUCUAGCUGGCAGGUGUCAUCUGACCUUGACCUCAUUUUCAUGGUUCAGUGGUUAUAGUUGAGUUUUUGUGUUUUGGUCUGUUUUUCUUAUACUGUAUGCAAUAGGUCAACAAUAUUUGGUGUAUGGAAGGAUUGUAAGGUGUACAUGUCUAGCUGGCAGGUGUCAUCUGACCUUGACCUCAUUUUCAUGGUUCAGUGGUCAAAGUUAAGUUUUUGAGUUUUGGUCUUUUUUUCUAAUACUGCAUGCAAUAGGUCUACUAUAUUUGGUGUAUGGAAUGAUUGUAAGGUGUACAUGUCUAGCUGGCAGGUGUCAUCUGACCUUGACCUCAUUUUCAUGGUUCAGUGGUCAAAGUUAAGUUUUUGAGAUUUGAUCUUUUUUUCUAAUACUAUAUGCAAUAGUUCAACUACAUUUGGUGUAUGGAAAUAUUUUAUGAUCUAUAUGUCAGUCACACAGGUUUUAUUUGACCUUGACCUCAUUUUCAAGGUUCAUUGCUCAGUGUUAAGUUUUUGUGUUUUGGACUGUUUUUCUUAAACUAUAAGCAAUAGGUCAACCAUAUUUGUUGUAUGGAAGAAUUGUUAGCUGUACAUGCCUGCCCAGCAUGGUUCAUCUGACCUUGACCUCAUUUUCAUGGUUCAUUGGUCAAUGUUUAGUUUUCUUGGUUAAUGU